AUACGGAGGGUGCAAGCGUUAAUCGGAAUUACUGGGCGUAAAGCGCGCGUAGGCGGUUAUUUAAGUCAGAUGUGAAAUCCCUGGGCUCAACCUAGGAACUGCAUCUGAUACUGGGUAACUAGAGUUUUGGAGAGGUAAGUGGAAUUUCCGGUGUAGCGGUGAAAUGCAUAGAGAUCGGAAGGAACACCAGUGGCGAAGGCGACUUACUGGCCAAAAACUGACGCUGAGGUGCGAAAGCGUGGGUAGCAAACAGGAUUAGAUACCCUAGUAGUCC
rnacentral:rRNA from 1 species